GAUGAACGCUGGCGGCGUGCCUAAUACAUGCAAGUCGAGCGAACGGACGAGAAGCUUGCUUCUCUGAUGUUAGCGGCGGACGAGGGAGUAACACGUGGAGAACCUACCUAUAAGACUGGGAUAACUUCGGGAAGCCGUAGCUAAUACCGCGUAAUAUUUUGAACCGCAUGGUUCAAAAGUGAAGGACGGUCUUGCUGUCACUUAUAGAUGGAUCCGCGCUGCAUUAGCUAGUUGGUAAGGUAACGGCUUACCAAGGCAACGAUGCAUAGCCGACCUGAGAGGGUGAUCGGCGACACUGGAACUGCGACACGGCCCAGACGCCUACGGGAGGCAGCAGUAGGGAAUCUUACGGAAUGGGCGAAAGCCUGACGGAGCAACGCCGCGUGAGGGAGGAAGGUCUUCGGAUCGUAAAACACUGUUAUUAGGGAAGAACAUAUGUGUAAGUAACUGUGCACGGCUUGACGGUACCUAAUCAGAAAGCCACGGCUAACUACGUG
rnacentral:rRNA from 1 species